rnacentral:rRNA from 1 species
UACAGAGGUCCCGAGCGUUGUUCGGAUUUAUUGGGCGUAAAGGGUGCGUAGGCGGCGGAGUAAGUUGGGUGUGAAAUCCCGGGGCUCAACCUCGGAAUGGCAUUCAAUACUGCUUCGCUAGAGUACUGGAGAGGAGGCUGGAAUUUACGGUGUAGCAGUGAAAUGCGUAGAUAUCUGGAGGAACACCGGUGGCGAAAGCGACUCACUGGACCGACACUGACGCUGAGGUGCGAAAGCUAGGGUAGCAAACGGG